GUGAGAGCUCAGGUGCCUUCUC
rnacentral:miRNA from 1 species